rnacentral:sRNA from 1 species
UUGCGUUAGGGAUUGAAGUGGCAUCUUUUUCUAUUUUUACUCAUGUUUGCUAAAAUGAAAAUAAUAUUUAGAAAUAGAAAAAAUAUAGCGUAAAGCCCGACCAUUU